rnacentral:rRNA from 1 species
CUCUUCGGGGAUGAUUAAACCGGCGCACGGGUGAGUAACACGUGAGUGACCUGCCUUUUAGACUGGAACAACUUACCGAAAGGUGAGCUAAUGCCGGAUGAGUUAUAUAAGUGCAUGUUUAUAUAGGAAAAGUUGGGGAGACCUGACGCUGAAAGAUGGACUCGCGUCCCAUUAGCUAGUUGGUAGGGUAAUGGCCUACCAAGGCGACGAUGGGUAGCCGGCCUGAGAGGGUGGCCGGCCACACUGGGACUGAGACACGGCCCAGACUCCUACGGGAGGCAGCAGUGGGGAAUUUUGCGCAAUGCUCGUAAGAGUGACGCAGCGACGCCGCGUGAAUGACGAAGGCCUUCGGGUCGUAAAGUUCUUUCGACAGGGAAGAAAAUGCCUAUAAGUAACUGUGUAUGUAUUGACGGUACCUGUAUAAGCAGCCCCGGCUAACUCCGUGCCAGCAGCCGCGGUAAUACGGAGGGGGCGAGCGUUGUUCGGAGUGACUGGGCGUAAAGAGCACGUAGGCGGUGUUGUAAGUCAUUAGUCAAAGACUAGAGCUCAACUUUAGUAAGGCUAGUGAUACUAUAAUACUAGAGUAUCAGAGAGGAUUGCAGAAUUCCUGGUGUAGCAGUGAAAUGCGUAGAUAUCAGGAGGAAUACCGUUAGCGAAGGCGGCAAUCUGGCUGGAAACUGACGCUGAGGUGCGAAAGCGUGGGUAGCAAACAGGAUUAGAUACCCUGGUAGUCCACGCUGUAAACGAUGGAUGCUAGGUGUUGGGCUUUUAAGUUCAGUGCCGCAGCAAACGCGAUAAGCAUCCCGCCUGGGG